CGGUUGAGAGGGCAGCGUAUGUCGCCGUCCGCUGAGGCGAAAGCUUCACUUGGCUG
rfam:Chloroflexi bacterium RBG_16_56_11 RBG_16_scaffold_770, whole genome shotgun sequence.